rnacentral:rRNA from 1 species
UGUGACGGCGUGCCUUUUGUAGAAUGAGCCAGCGAGUCGCUGGCGCGGGGCGAGGUUAACCGAAAGGGAGCCGGAGCGAAAGCGAGCCUUAACAGGGCGACUUGAGUCCCGCGCCGCGGACGCGAAGCCGGGUGAGCUAUCCGUGGGCAGGCUGAAGCGGGGGUAAGACCCCGUGGAGGGCCGAACGCACGUCGGUUGAAAACGGCGGCGAUGACCUGCGGAUAGGGGUGAAAGGCCAAUCAAACCCGGAGAUAUCUCGUUCUCCCCGAAAUAGCUUUAGGGCUAGCGUCGCGCGUUCACCGCCGGAGGUAGAGCACCGGAUGGACGAGGGGGCUUCGCCGCCUACCGAAUCCAACCGAACUCCGAAUGCCGGCGGCCCAGAGCGCGGCAGUCAGAGCAUGUGGGCUAAGCUGUGUGCUCGAGAGGGAAACAGCCCGGACCGCCCGCUAAGGUCCCCAAGUUCCAGCCGAGUGGCAAAGGAUGUGCGUCCGCCCAGACAACCAGGAUGUUGGCUUAGAAGCAGCCAUCCAUUCAAAGAGUGCGUAACAGCUCACUGGUCGAGUGGACAUGCGCCGACAAUACACGGGGCUAAGCUGGACACCGAAGCGGCGGGAUUUUGAUUUACAGAAUCGGUAGGGGAGCUUCCCAUGGGCGGAGAAGCCGGAGGGCGACCGACGGUGGAGCGCAUGGGAGUGAGAAUGCUGGCAUGAGUAGCGAGAGACGAGAGAGUAACUCGUCCGCCGUGAACCCGAGGUUUCCUGGGCAAGGCUAAUCCUCCCAGGGUCAGUCGGGGGCUAAGGCGAGGCCGGGAGGCGUAGCCGACGCGCAGCAGGCAGACAUUCCUGCACCGCGCACGCGGCGCUACGACCGACGGGGCGACGGAUGGGGGUGGCUCGGCGGGGUUCUGGACGUCCCCGUGAUGGAGCGCGGCCCGCGGACCAGGGAAAUCCGGUCCGCACGAGGGCGAGGCUCCGGACGAAGCGACUGAGCGAAGCGAGUGAGCCCGAGGUCCCUAGAAAAACCCCUAGGCAGGCGCGUGCGCGCCCGUACCGCAAACCGACACAGGUGGGUGGGUAGAACAUACCGAGGCGAUCGGGUCAACCAUGGUCAAGGAACUCGGCACAAUGGCCCCGUAACUUCGGGAGAAGGGGUGCCCGCGCGUACGUGAACGGACUUGCUCCGGGAGCGGAGGCGGGCCGCAGUGGAGAGGCCCAAGCGACUGUUUACCAAAAACACAGGACUCUGCAGAAGCCGCAAGGCGACGUAUAGGGUCUGACGCCUGCCCGGUGCCGGAAGGUCACGCGGAGGAGUUAGCCGAUCGCGCGAAGCCCCGAAGCCAAGCCCCGGUAAACGGCGGCCGUAACUAUAACGGUCCUAAGGUAGCGAAAUUCCUUGUCGGGUAAGUUCCGACCUGCACGAAAGGCGCAACGACUUGGGCGCUGUCUCGACCAUGGACCCGGUGAAAUUGCACUGGUCGUGAAGAUGCGACUUACCCGCGGAAGGACGGAAAGACCCCGUGAACCUUCACUGCAGCUUGGCAUUGGCCGCUGGUCCCGCGUGUAGAGGAUAGGCAGGAGGCUAAGAUCCGGAGGCGCCAGCCCCCGGGGAGCCGCCCUUGGAAUACUGCCCUCGCGCGACCGGCGUCCUAACCCGAGGCCGUCAACCGGCUCGGGGACCGUGCCAGGCGGGCAGUUUGACUGGGGCGGUCGCCUCCUAAAGGGUAACGGAGGCGCGCGAAGGUCCGCUCGGGACGGUCGGCAACCGUCCUUUUGAAUGCAAGAGUACAAGCGGGCUUGACUGCGAGGCCCACAAGCCGAGCAGGUGCGAAAGCAGGCUCUAGUGAUCCGGCGGCCCCGAGUGGGUGGGCCGUCGCUCAACGGAUAAAAGGUACUCCGGGGAUAACAGGC